AGAAAUAAAGAUGCGUGCAUAAGUAAGUUCACGGCCAUUUUAAACUUAAAGCAAUAUUAUGUUUAAAAAAAUUCAAUUUUCUGCUUUAAAUUUGCAUCGGAAGGCAUUGACAAAGACAAAAAGCUUUAACUUCCUACACAACUUUUAGUGGAUGCAUAUUUUGCAUGAGAUGAUUGCAUAAAUGUUUGCAAACCAGGAAGUUGUAUACACGGAAAAUGUGAAGUUGUGGGUUUUCAAAAAGAAUGCAGGUGUUAUGAAGGUUACGAAGGAGUCGAUUGCGAUACAAAAAUUAUCAAAAUUGCAGGU